GGACCCGACUGCUAUUUGGGUGAGGAUAAGCCAUGCGAGUUGCAUGGGAUACCUAAAUUUCCCAUGGCAAACUGCUCAGUAACACAUGAUCAACUUGCCCUAUAGAGAAAAAUAACCUCGGGAAACUGAGGAUAAUGUUUCAUAGUUGAAAAGGCUUGGAAAAGUUUUUCAAUAAAAGGGGUAAGGAAAAUGGUACUUAUCUGCUAUAGGAUAGGAUCGUGUUCGAUUAUGGUUGUUGGUGAGGUAAUGGCUCACCAAGCCGAUAAUCGAUAGGGGCCGUGAGAGCGGAAGCCCCGAGAUGGGUACUGAGACAGCGACCCAGGCCUUACGAGGCGCAGCAGGCGCGAAACCUCCACAAUACACGAAAGUGUGAUGGGGUUACCCAAAGUGUUCUAUUAAGAACUGUGGUAGGUGAGUAAUGUUCCCUACUAGAAAGGAGAGGGCAAGGCUGGUGCCAGCCGCCGCGGUAAAACCAGCUCUUCAAGUGGUCGGGAUAAUUAUUGGGCUUAAAGUGUCCGUAGCCGGUUUAAUAAGUUCCUGGUAAAAUCGGGUAGCUUAACUAUCUGCAUGCUAGGAAUACUGCUAUACUAGAGGGCGGGAGAGGUCUGAGGUACUACAGGGGUAGGGGUGAAAUCUUAUAAUCCUUGUAGGACCACCAGUGGCGAAGGCGUCAGACUGGAACGCGCCUGACGG
rnacentral:rRNA from 1 species